AAGAAAAAAUAAAUAAAGAAAGAAAGGCAAAACACAAUUUACAUAUACAAAAAAUAAAUGUCUUGAAGAACAAUAACAUUUUCACUUACGAUCAUAUAUAGUAGUAACAAUCAUUUUUCCAAUAGCAAAUAUUAUGAUUACUUAAAUCACAUAUAUAUUUUAUUCUUAUAGGAAAAGCAGGUGAAUCAUAAGACACAGCAAGAAGAGCAAAUUGAGACUAUUGAGGAGGAUAUGUGAUGCUGGGCAAUACAUACAGUAGGUUAUAUCAACUACAUGAUGUUCAACCUCAAGUUAGUAAGAGAAUAUGACACUGAAAUAUAUGAAGAAGGAAGCAGUUUCACAAAACUUAUGAGAAGCACAUCUAAGGCUAUGCUCAUUCCCAACAGGGCCUUAUAUUGUUUUCUUUUUGUGCCUUUUAUUGUUUUCUUUUUGUUAUAUAAUAACUAGCCAGACCUAUCUUAUGCUAUUUGUAUGUGUAUUCUGAGAGCACUAUUGUGUGAUAAUACUCUCGUGUCUAUGUUCAAUCUUUUCUCCAUAAGACUCUAGAUUUGAAA